rnacentral:rRNA from 1 species
AGUGAACGCUGGCGGUAGGCCUAACACAUGCAAGUCGAACGGCAGCACAGUAAGAGCUUGCUCUUACGGGUGGCGAGUGGCGGACGGGUGAGGAAUACAUCGGAAUCUACUUUUUCGUGGGGGAUAACGUAGGGAAACUUACGCUAAUACCGCAUACGACCUACGGGUGAAAGCAGGGGAUCUUCGGACCUUGCGCGAUUGAAUGAGCCGAUGUCGGAUUAGCUAGUUGGCGGGGUAAAGGCCCACCAAGGCGACGAUCCGUAGCUGGUCUGAGAGGAUGAGCGGAGACACGGGAAAUGAGACACGGUCGAGACUCCCACGGUAGGCAAACGUGGGGAAGAGAGGAAAAGCGGUGGAAGUCUAAUCCAGUCAUACCGCAAAGGUAAAGCAGGACGUCCGGUACUAAAUGCCUUGCUUGGAAAAAAAAAAGAAGCAGCGGAAAACCCUGCGCUAAUGGCGGGACGCAAAGAAUGAAAAACGGCUCACUUGAAG